rnacentral:rRNA from 1 species
GAAUUUUGGACAAUGGGCGAAAGCCUGAUCCAGCCAUGCCGCGUGAGUGAAGAAGGCCUUCGGGUUGUAAAGCUCUUUCAGACGGAAAGAAAUCGGGCGCGUGAAUAGCGCGCCUGGAUGACGGUACUGUCAGAAGAAGCACCGGCUAACUACGUCCCAGCAGCCGCGGUAAUACGUAGGGUGCGAGCGUUAAUCGGAAUUACUGGGCGUAAAGCGUGCGCAGGCGGUUGUGUAAGACAGGUGUGAAAUCCCCGGGCUUAACCUGGGAACUGCGCUUGUGACUGCACGGCUAGAGUACGGCAGAGGGGGGUGGAAUUCCACGUGUAGCAGUGAAAUGCGUAGAGAUGUGGAGGAACACCGAUGGCGAAGGCAGCCCCCUGGGCCGAUACUGACGCUCAUGCACGAAAGCGUGGGGAGCAAACAG